GACACAGUCCGGAUCUGAGGUUCACGAGAAACCCUGACAGCUUAACGAGCCCUUUCGCGAUUUCUGAGGAAUUCCCGUACGCCAGAGUUUUCAACGAUGAAAUCUAUCGCUCUAUUCUUCGCUGUUGUCGUCGUGAUGAACGGGCUCGCUUCAGCUUAUCCGGGCCGUUGGGGUCAAGCCCUGGCUCUGGCGAAACGCACCGGGGAAGAAGUGAUCCCCUACGUAGGCCCUGCCUCGGACGAGGAGUACCGUGCAAUGGAGAGGCGUCUCGCAUUCCUUCCCGACACCUCUUCCUACUACAAUCCCUACAGCAGGUAUGACUAGUAUCCCUGAAGAGGAAAGAACCGUCCGGAUCCCCAACAAAUGCUCCCCGACGCCAAUUCAAUACUCAGGGCUGGAAACGCUGAGAGAAGACUCCUGGGGAGCCGAAUGCCACUCUCGUCGAUUUGUUUAUGAUUGAAGAUCUCGGCUGUAGACAUACCCGAAGAAAGUAAAAGCGAAAAACUGACCCGAACAAAUAGAGGGAUGGAUGGAUGAGCGAAAACAUGGACAGCUAACAGCAACAAGUCAUGAAGAUCAUCUCUGAAGGCAGAAGACUCCCACAAUCCGGAAGAGAAAAUCCUCCCCACCUCACUCUAGUUGACUGGUCUUCCCCACUGUCGUUGGGAUAAUCGUCAUUCGGUUUGGAAAUGGAAAGCAACUCGGACCUCACGGAUCGCUCACUCGGAGUGUUUCAUGCAAAGGUCUCAAGGAGCGUUCGAUGCAGGGGGACGACGUCAGAAAGAUGGGGACAUCGGAGUCGUUUCUCGAAUGAUCUCAAAUAGUGGAUUCCACAAUGCACGAUCUGCGUUUUCUUUUGAUGCGCGUCUCUCGCUCAGCUGAGGAAGCGAUAACUGAUCUCAUCAAUAAAUUGUAGUGUUAUCGAACCGAAACCCGUGGUACCGCAGUCGCGCUGAUUGAGUCAUCGGCAGAGCGAGAUGCGUCGAGUAU